UACGUAGGGUGCGAGCGUUGCCCGGAUUUAUUGGGCGUAAAGAGCGUGUAGGCGGCCAGGUAGGUCCGUUGUGAAAACUCGAGGCUUAACCUCGAGACGUCGAUGGAAACCAUCUGGCUAGAGUCCGGAAGAGGAGAGUGGAAUUCCUGGUGUAGCGGUGAAAUGCGCAGAUAUCAGGAAGAACACCCGUGGCGAAGGCGGCUCUCUGGGACGUGACUGACGCUGAGACGCGAAAGCGUGGGGAGCAAACAGG
rnacentral:rRNA from 1 species